AACGAACGCUGGCGGCAGGCCUAACACAUGCAAGUCGAGCGAGGACUUCGGUCCUAGCGGCGGACGGGUGAGUAACGCGUGGGAACGUGCCCUUUGCUUCGGAAUAGCCCUGGGAAACUGGGAGUAAUACCGGAUGAGCCCUUUGGGGGAAAGAUUUAUCGGCGAAGGAUCGGCCCGCGUUGGAUUAGGUAGUUGGUGGGGUAAUGGCCUACCAAGCCGACGAUCCAUAGCUGGUUUGAGAGGAUGAUCAGCCACACUGGGACUGAGACACGGCCCAGACUCCUACGGGAGGCAGCAGUGGGGAAUCGUAGACAAUGGGGGAAACCCUGAUCUAGCCAUGCCGCGUGAGCGAUGAAGGCCUUAGGGUUGUAAAGCGCUUUCAGCUGGGAAGAUAAUGACGGUACCAGCAGAAGAAGCCCCGGCUAACUCCGUG
rnacentral:rRNA from 1 species